AUACCAUAUCAGCGCCAUGCAGCACCAGAUAUGCAGAAUUCUUCUGAACGUAACUCCGGUAAGGGUAGACCUAAUCUUCUUUCCCCUGGCUACACCGAUGAUUAUCCAAACGAAAGGAUGCCUCUUCCCUACCAUGACAAAAGAAAUUUAGGUGAAGAAAACCAGCCCCCAAAAAGUGAAAAGCAUGGAUUUCCUAUUGAAAACCAGAGAGAGAAAGCUACAAAUCCUAAUAAUGAUAAUAAUAAUAAUGGAAAAACUACCAAUUCAUAUUUUCCACGAAGUAACAUGAAUUCAACCGAUCAAUCAAACAAAUUUUCAAAUGAUCCUUACCAUGAACCUAACAAGAAAGAUAAUCCUGCACAGUUUCAAUACAUUAAACCAGAGAACGCUGAUGAUUAUCCAAACGAAAGGGUGCCUCUUCCCUAUCACAGCACAAGGAGUUUAAAUGAAGAAAACCAGCCUAAAGAUGAAGAGAAGCAUGGAUCUCCUUAUGAAAAUAACAAUUUCCCCUCUGCAAACCACCCUGGGAAUACCAAACCCACUUUACAGUCUAAAACAGAUCAGAGCGUCAGUCUGAAAACCCUGAUACAUUGAAUAAUAGUCAAAUACCUUACAAUGCAGAUCAAAAUGAUUUCGAUUUAUCAUUUCCAAUUAAACAGCCUAACAAGAACAACAACAAACUACAAACUAGUGAAAUAGGUCCUCCAAAAAGUUACAGUUCUAUAAAUCAAAAACCAGUAAAAAAGAAAGCUCAACCCUUAAAUUCCAAUGUUACGUCAAACCCACAAAACGAUGAAACGCAAAAUCCCACAAGUAAAAGAGUUUCUAAUAGAUUACAUUCCGAACAAGACCCAACAAGAAGGAUCAGCAAAAACAAUAAAGAAGCAAACGAAAAUUCAAAGGGAGGUGAAACAUAAAUUGCCAGAAGAUAACCAAAUCAAGUCAAAUCAAGAUAAUCAGCCCCAACCUAGAGUGAAUUUUAGUGACCCAAUAGGCCUACCACAAAGUUAUAGUUCCAUUCGUCAGAAGCCAAAAGGAGGCCAAGCCGUUAAAAUUGGUCAACAGCCUCCCAAUCUCAGUCAACAUUCUACGGGAAAAGAAAUGUGGGAUACGGCCGACAAGAAAAUGGCUGCGUAUUACCAUCUGACUCGCAUAGAUAAAUGGGACAUGGUGCAUGGAUACGACAACAAAUAUGAUAAGCAUGGAAAACCAGCGAAAUCUAAUAGCGAAAAAAUGAAGAAGCAAGUGAAAGACGUCGACCUUUUGUAAAAGCCAUAGAUUAUUGAAAGCCAAUUAAGGCAUGAAACUAAAAUGUACUAAAUGUACUCGAAGUGCAUUUUUACCGUAAACAGUGUAAAUACUUCGAAAAAGAUGACAUAAAUAUAUUACAAACCAUAUCAUUUAAAAUGAUAUAUUUUAGUUGUGAAACAACAACACAUGUAUUUGAUUGUUCGUAGAUAUAUUUGUACAUACCUUGAGGCUGUCGGAGCUAUGUUGGUUUGACACCAUGUUUCUGUCCAUUUGUUUGUUUUUAUUUGUGGUUUGUUUUGUUUUGUUCCGUUUUCUUUUUGUUUAUAACAGUUUCUGUACAAUAGUUACAGGUUCACAAUCCCAAUGUUAUAUAAAAUUUUAAUGAAAUAUAAAAUAUCAUGUGACUUUAUUUAAUAGUUAUUGCCUUUAUAACUCAAUGUUUCGUGGGACUGGUAGACAGACCAAGGUAGAGUUGUCUUUCUUU
rnacentral:sRNA from 1 species